rnacentral:rRNA from 1 species
ACUCGAGUGGCGAACGGGUGAGUAACGCGUGGGUGAUCUGCCCUGCACUUCGGGAUAAGCCUGGGAAACUGGGUCUAAUACCGGAUAGGAGCCAUUUUUAGUGUGAUGGUUGGAAAGUUUUUCGGUGUAGGAUGAGCUCGUGGCCUAUCAGCUUGUUGGUGGGGUAAUGGCCUACCAAGGCGGCGACGGGUAGCCGGCCUGAGAGGGUGGACGGCCACAUUGGGACUGAGAUACGGCCCAG